rnacentral:tRNA from 1 species
GCGUCUGUAGCCUAGUUGGUAAAGGCAGCACUCUAGUAUGUGUCUCAGCAUAGCUGAGGUCGUGAGUUCGACUCUCACCAGAUACA